rnacentral:lncRNA from 1 species
GCUGUUUUUAAUUAUUUUGGGGUCCCCUGUUUCCCUUUUCCAGAGGCACGAAUUUUGCGAAAUCCCUCCGCCCUACUCAUCAGGGAACUGGAACAGCCUGUAAAUGAUUGACACACUGCCAUCUUGCAAGUGCUGAAGGUGGAUGUAUCUCAAGAAUCCUGCUUUUGCAACUCAAAGGAAAAGCUUUCAGCUUGCAUCUAAAACUAUGUUAAAGGAGACAUUUCUCUUUAAUUCCUGCAGUUACCUUAGAUGUGAGACUUUAAUCAGGAGCCUGCAAAGUCAGUGCAGUAACUUUCAUAUGGCAGAAGAGUCCUCAAUGCUCAGAAAGUUUGUCAUGCACUCCUGCAGAACAUAAAAAGAAAGAUGCAUAACAUAACAAAGUGUAUUCAUAGCAUACAUUAAACUUAUUUUAAAGGGCAUAUUCACCUCCUGCUCAGUCUGAAGUCCUGGGCAACUCUGAGUAAAAGGCACAGGGGCAGAUGAGUUUGGGAAACGGUAGGUGACUCCUUAGCCCAGAGUAAGAAGGGAGGAUCUGCAACCUUCCUGUCCUCUAAUAGGUGUUUACUGUCACAGUGGAUAAAUACCAGGUGUGUGUCUUACAUGCAUCCUGCAAGGAAUACGAAAUUGCAUCUCCAAUAGGCUGUCCUGCUCCACUGUACAGCAGCUUUUAAUUAUGCUCAGCAGAAGGAACUAGAUUUCCUGGAAAAGCAGUAAAGGGAUAUGGGCAUUUCAUCUGGGUUCUAUUUUCAUUUGUUCUGUUGAAAUUUAGGUUCUAGGAAACAGCACUGUUUUAGAGGGUGGGGGCUAAGUGUUAAGAAAAUCAUGAGCAC